UAGAGGUUAAGCCCGAUGAACCUGAAUAUCCAUUAUGGAAAAUUCAUCACUAAUACUAUAAUAUUAAUGAAUAUUAUAAGAAUAGUGUGCAAUUUUUUCAUAUAAGGACAUUGUAAUCUGUUAAUAUAUUAAAUAUUUAUUAAAAGAUUUUAUACAUAAGUUUAUUCAAAUUAGUUAUUUUCGGAUUUCUAACAUAAAAUAAAAGUAUUUAAUUUAAUAAAUUAUUGACAGAUUUAUUUAUAUAUAGUGCUUAAAUUUUGAAAGAAAUUUUAUAAUAAUAUAAUAAUUUAAUUUAUUAUAUUUAUUAUAUGCACUUAUAUGAUUGACAAUGCGAUAGAUUCAGGAUACCUUCGGGACCCGUCUUGAAACACGGACCAAGGAGUCUAACAUAUGUGCAAGUCAUUGGGUAUUUUUAAUAAAACCUAAUGGCAUAAUUAACUUAACUGUUUUUAAAUGGGAUUAGUUUAUAUUUUAUUAUGAAAUAUAAAUUCAAUCCCGGGGCGUUCUAUACAGUUAUGUAUAAUGAUAUUUAUAUUAUUUAUACCUCUAACU
rnacentral:rRNA from 1 species